rnacentral:rRNA from 1 species
UACGUAGGGGGCAAGCGUUGUCCGGAAUCAUUGGGCGUAAAGAGCGUGUAGGCGGCCCGGUAAGUCCGCUGUGAAAGUCGAGGGCUCAACCCUCGAAUGCCGGCGGAUACUGUCGGGCUAGAGUCCGGAAGAGGCGAGUGGAAUUCCUGGUGUAGCGGUGAAAUGCGCAGAUAUCAGGAGGAACACCUACGGCGAAGGCAGCUCGCUAGGACGGUACUGACGCUGAGACGCGAAAGCGUGGGGAGCAAACAGG